ensembl:lincRNA Gm10101 predicted gene 10101
GAUUGGUGGCCUGAGAGAAUUCCGCCAGCCGGGCUCUGUUCUCAAAUUCCUAACUGACAUCUGGGGCCAAAAUUUAAGUUAAUGCAGAUCCUCAGAUACACGAGGUAUCCUGGAAACCCUGCAAACCCUAGACAAAUUUGGGAAUGGGACAAGGGCCGGCAUCGGCGCGACGGAAUGGUCUACGAAAGGAAUGGUCUCGAUUUGCGGAUUGUCGCGGAAAACCCGAAAAGAGGUCACUACCGCGAGCGAUUUUUUGUAACCUUAUCAACCUUUGCAAAGUAAGUUUAUUCAAAGGAAAAUCGGCAUACGUACUCCCUCGGCCCUCUUUUUUCUUCUCCAAUUAGAAUUAGCCAGAUCUUUGAAGGUUUUAGUAACUAAUUUUUGUUUGUUUAUUAGGAGAUCUUAGUACAGGAAGUAGCUUAAUGUCUGCUUCCUUUCCUCACUCUUGUCAUCAGUGCCUCAAAGAAGCCUCCCGGAAGUUUCUCCUAAAACCACUUUUAUAUUUCUUUUACUUAAGCCCUAAUGUGAUCCCUAGUUACAGCAUAAACAGGAGAAACACCUCCCAUCACAAAUCCGAUCCUGUUACUGAGGAAGAAGGGGAGAGUGGACAUUAGGACGCUUAAGGAAAGGUUUCAUGCCAUGCUCUCAAGUCACCAGGAAAUGUGUGCUUCAAAAAGAAGAGUUAGCUUCGUCCAGUGACCUUGACCAAAUAGCCUUGUGUUUUCUGGAGUACUGCUAUUUAAGCUUGUUUCUAUGUAAAUUUUCUCAUUAGUAGAUAUUGAAUUGUAAAAGUAUGUUUAUUUAAGCUAUGCUUGGUUGUUGGAAUGUUUUUUACUACCACAUCAAGCACUGCAGUGAGUAUCCAUAAAGCUAAUUUACUUACUUAGGCUAAAUCAUGGAGGUAGGACUUUAUGUAUAUUUAAUUUUUUUUAGAGACUAGAGUCUAGAAAUACUGUGUUAGAUGCAAUCACACCAUUGCAGGUAGCCAAUCUGAAGGCAAUUUUAUUACAGUAAAACGAAAAGGGAUGUUUAUCGUGAAACAAAAACAUAAGUUGCAGGUAAAGUAACAUUAAAUACAUAGGAAUGACUUUGUCCCCACUCAACCCCCACUGAACCUACAGUAAAGAGAUGUAAGAUGUAAGCCAACAAGAUGGCUAAAGGCACUUGCUACCAGGCCUGACAACCUAACUGGAACCUUCUGGAACCACGUGGUAAAAGGAGAAUACAGUUGUCUUCAGACCUCUGCAAGCAUGGGCCAUAGUAAAUAUAAUGUAAUGAAAGAAAAGUAAACAUUUCCCAAAGUGUAAAGAAGAGAGGAAGCAAGAAAAGAAAAAAAAUAAAUAAAGUAAUGCUUUGGAAGAUACAAAUCAGAAAAGAACAAUUCACCAAUCCAGACACGAGAGCCAGCUCCAAAUCAGAAAUAAAGGAACGGGAAGCCAGCCUAGCUUAUCCUGAGGAACUCUCUAAACAAACAGGAGCGGAGAUUUAGCUCAAGUCUUUACCAUUUCCUGCUUGGAUUUACUACAGCCACUGAAAUAUGUGUCUAACACAGGACCUGUCCUGUGUACUCUGCACACACAGUGUCCCUUACUGCAGGACCUCUCCUGUGUACUCUGCACACAGUGUCCCUCUCUGCAGGAUCUCUCCUGUGUAUUCUGCACACACGGUGACCCUCUCUGCAGGACCUGUCCUGUGUACUCUGCACACAGUGUCCCUCACUGCAGGAUCUCUCCUGUGUACUCUGCACACAGUGUCCCUCUCUGCAGGACCUCUCCUGUGUACUCUGCACACAGUGUCCCUCAACUCUCUCCUCCACCACCAAUGACUUUUCUAUAGCAAAAAUCUAAUUCCACUGGUAAAAGUCCUGGGUUGGCAUGCCCUGUUUUUCUUGUUCUUUUUAAAAUAAAAUUUUAGGUAAAUUUACAAAGUAAUGAGUGUUGUUUUAUACACAUAUAUCAAUGGUUUUUUGCUUUUGCUCAUCCUUGGUCUUUCCUCUCUUCCUUCUUCUCCUCUUCCUUCCCAAAAAUACAAUAUAGGUUUAUUCUCUCUCUCUCUUCCCCUCUUGGGGGGGGCAGUCCUUGCCUUCCGCUUUGUUGGAGACAGGAUGAUAUCUCUUUAAAACAAAGACCCUGAGGUCUCAUUUGACACGCCCACUCCUACACAUCUUGACUGAUAGUGCUUGAAUGUGAAAUGGCUCCAGUAGGCUAUAUUUGAACAUUUGGUCCCCAGAUGUGUGGCUGUUUGGAGAAUCUGGGGGAUCUUCAGGAGCUGAGACCCAGAUUAAGGUGGUAGGUGCCUGGGGGAGAGCCUAAGGGGGUUGUCACCUGACCCUGCUUCCACUGCAUCCUGAUCUGCUAUGAUUGUGAGGAGCCUGAGCUACAUGCUCAGGGACACACCUUCCUUGCUAUGACACACUCUAGUCUGAAAUCCUGGAGUCAAAGAAACUUUGCCUCCCUUACACUGUUGGCAGGUGGUCUGUCCAGCAGCUGAGAAAAGAGAUUAAUACACCUACUCAUGUCUAAUUAAGAAAAAAAAAAUGUGGAGGCUGGAGAGGCAGCACAGCAGCUGAGAGUGGUCCUGCUAUUCCAGAAGACUAGCAUCGGUUCCCAGCUCCCAAUCCAGUGGCCCAGGAUCACUGUAAUUCCAGCUCGGGCAUCUGCUUCUGGUUUCUCACGAGUACAUUUGCAUAUCCCCACACAGACAAAGAUAGAUAGAUAGAUAGAUAGAUAGAUAGAUAGAUAGAUAGAUAGAUAGAUAGAUGGAUGGAUGGAUGGAUGGAUGGAUGGAUGGAUAGAUAGAUUAGAGAUAUAAAAUUUUAAAAUAAAAAUAAAUCUUUU